GGGAUUGUGGCUCAGUGGUAGAGCACUCACCUGAAGUGUGUGGGGCACUGGGUUUGAUCCUCAGUAACACA
rnacentral:tRNA from 1 species